UGGGGAAUUUUGGACAAUGGGGGAAACCCUGAUCCAGCCAUCCCGCGUGUGCGAUGAAGGCCUUCGGGUUGUAAAGCACUUUUGGCAGGAAAGAAACGUCAUGGGUUAAUACCCCGUGAAACUGACGGUACCUGCAGAAUAAGCACCGGCUAACUACGUGCCAGCAGCCGCGGUAAUACGUAGGGUGCAAGCGUUAAUCGGAAUUACUGGGCGUAAAGCGUGCGCAGGCGGUUCGGAAAGAAAGAUGUGAAAUCCCAGAGCUCAACUUUGGAACUGCAUUUUUAACUACCGGGCUAGAGUCUGUCAGAGGGAGGUGUAAUACCGCGUGUAGCAGUGAAAUGCGUAGAUAUGCGGGGGAACACCGAUGGCGAAGGCAGCCUCCUGGGAUAACACUGACGCUCAUGCACGAAAGCGUGGGGAGCAAACAGG
rnacentral:rRNA from 1 species